rnacentral:rRNA from 1 species
AACAGGAUUAGAUACCCUGGUAGUCCACGCCGUAAACGAUGUCGACUUGGAGGCUGUUUCCUUGAGAAGUGGCUUCCGGAGUUAACGCGUUAAGUCGACCGCCUGGGGAGUACGGCCGCAAGGUUAAAACUCAAAUGAAUUGACGGGGGCCCGCACAAGCGGUGGAGCAUGUGGUUUAAUUCGAUGCAACGCGAAGAACCUUACCUACUCUUGACAUCCAGAGAACUUUCCAGAGAUGGAUUGGUGCCUUCGGGAACUCUGAGACAGGUGCUGCAUGGCUGUCGUCAGCUCGUGUUGUGAAAUGUUGGGUUAAGUCCCGCAACGAGCGCAACCCUUAUCCUUUGUUGCCAGCGAUUCGGUCGGGAACUCAAAGGAGACUGCCGGUGAUAAACCGGAGGAAGGUGGGGAUGACGUCAAGUCAUCAUGGCCCUUACGGCCAGGGCUACACACGUGCUACAAUGGCGCAUACAAAGAGAAGCGACCUCGCGAGAGCAAGCGGACCUCAUAAAGUGCGUCGUAGUCCGGAUCGGAGUCUGCAACUCGACUCCGUGAAGUCGGAAUCGCUAGUAAUCGUGGAUCAGAACGCCACGGUGAAUACGUUCCCGGGCCUUGUACACACCGCCCGUCACACCAUGGGAGUGGGUUGCAAAAGAAGUAGGUAGCUUAACCUUCGGGAGGGCGCUUACCACUUUGUGAUUCAUGACUGGGGUGAAGUCGUAACAAGGUAUC